rnacentral:rRNA from 1 species
GACGGAGGAUGCAAGUGUUAUCCGGAAUCACUGGGCGUAAAGCGUCUGUAGGUGGUUUAAAAAGUCCACUGUUAAAGAUUGAAGCUUAACUUCGGAAAGGCAGUGGAAACUGAACAGCUAGAGUAUGGUAGGGGCAGAGGGAAUUCCUGGUGUAGCGGUGAAAUGCGUAGAUAUCAGGGAGAACAUCGGUGGCGAAGGCGCUCUGCUGGACCAUAACUGACACUCAGGGACGAAAGCUAGGGGAGCGAAUGGG